CGCACGCCACGUGGUCUCUCCUCGGCUGGACCGCGUCCCGCACGCAGCGCGGUGUUGCCGGCUGCAGGGUGGUCGCCGGCGGCCGCCGUCGUGCUCUCGGUGAGCACCUCAGCCCCCUCACGGCCUUCAGGCGUUAAGCUGUCCGCGUGAUGAGGAGCAGCGCCGUGUUGGAGCUACGCAUUCAUUUUCAAACUUGUGGUUUCCAAAUGGCAACAACCAUCAUUUCUCUCAGGCUUAACUCAAUUAAGGCAUGUGCUGCAGUUGCCAGAGGAGUGGUGGGGGCUCUCAAGAGUGUGUGAUAAGAGUGCCACCAUAGCCAUGCACCACUGCCAGAGGGCAGUGGAAAUGUGGAGGAGGAAAAUUAAGCUGUGAACUGGAAUUCCAUCAGGCUGUCUGCUGCGAAGCCCUGCGGCUUUAGCAAACAGGCAGCAGUGGUCAGAAAUGACACUCAAAAGAAAGUUACAUGUAAUUCGUAGAGGACUUCCAGCUCCUGUGAAAGAAGAUGCUUUUGUUCUGCACAAUCUUCACAUCUAAGGAGGUAAUAUGACCUUCUUGUAGAAACGCUAUCGCAACUGCAGCUGCCUUGAUUAGUUUUUUAUGUCCUCCUGUCAUGCAUUAUUCUCAUUACAUGGGCGCUUCUCCAGGUUUUGUAACAGUACUGAUUAGACAUAUAGGCGUGUGCUGAUACAGUGGGCAAAGUUGCAGCAUCUUCCAUCUCCACAACUGUUUUGAGAGGAAAUGGGAUUCUGCUUCUUGUGCUGAGGUCAGGCAGUGUUAGAGGUCUUUUUUCAAGCUUAAGCCAAGUGCGGUUAUUGGGAGAUGCACGUGUACUGGGGCAGACUGGGGUGAUGCAGAGGCUGAAAUAAAAGAAAAGGUUAAGGAUGAUUUGAAGAACAUUUUCUGUGAAUGCAGAGUUAAAGCCAUUGCAGUUGAUUCAGGCAGCAGCAGUUUGCCUUUUCGGAAUUAUGGUGUUCUGUGCACCUAGUGCACGUGGUCAGGGAGCAGCAGGAGCCCACAGAAGGCUCUGCUCAUGUAAGCUCUCUCCAGCUGCCAUUGCAGGUACUGAAAAGCAAGUCCCCAUUACAAGUGUUUCCCAGUGUUGGAAGGUGAUGUGUAGUGACUAAAAGGGUUGCCAAGGGUGAGCAAAGAAUAGACUGCAACAGUCAAUAAAUAUAUCCUGAGAUUUUUCAGUCAUUUCCAUAUUUAUAUGUAACAUAUUGUAAUAUGGCUGUACUUGCCCAUUUGCUGUUUUUUUCCUUUUCCCUAGCCUAUGCUGUCUCCAGGCCUGAGAACUUUGUGUUUCUGUUGCCUUCUGUCUCUCAGGCAUGGUAUAAUAUAUACAUAAUGGUAUAAAUAACUGAUUCUUCUGCUUCCUGGUUGAUGAAUAGGGUUUUUUUUGGUUUUGCUUUUUGAAUUG